rnacentral:lncRNA from 1 species
CACUGGAUACGCACAAAAUACUGCACACAGUAAAAACCAGUGGAGUGUGGAAGAAAAAUAGUUAAAGAGAGAAAAUUAAGUAGGAGAUAUUGAGAGAAAGAGAGAGAAAAUUGAGAGUGAGAGAUCUCGAGAGUUGAACGGGAUACAAAGAAAUUGGUAUUUUCUGAAUUUUUUGGUGAGAAACUCGCCGAAAACCCCCUAAACUGGGAAACUUCAUCGGAAAAACCCAUACCGCCAUGUUUUAAUGCUCCGAAUUUUGGAAAGCCAUCGAAAAAUCAUGGAUCUUCUGGCUUCGCACCCCCUCUCUCUCUCCUUUCCUUCCGACGACCAUAAAAACCGAAUUCGUCAAAAAUUCCUUCUCCAAAAUUGGCGAAACCCCUUGAAAUUGCCAUUACCCACCAUCGGUGGGCGAGUCUUGGUGAACACCACCAUUAAUUGAUGUUGUUGUCCCCGUCUGUCGUCCAGCCGCUGCCUCCCUUCCCCUUUUUUCAUUUCAUUGCCGUUAAAACCAUGGCCAACGCCGAUGACACUAGCACUAUCGCCGCUCAAUGUUAAUGUUGCUUAAAUUUUUAUUUAUUUUUAAUAUUUUAUUAUUAUUUGAUAUUGUAUUAUGAUCUAUUAAUUUCAAAGUAAACUAACAUAUA